UCUUCAUUUCCAUUUUCAUGAAUAUCACUUUCCAAUUUCUAGGUAUUAUGACAGCACACAUUGCAAUUUUCAUCAAUGAAAAAAUUAAAAGGGGGAUUUUCUCCAUGAUCCUCAAUUUUUAAUUUAGAAACAGUCAUUUUUAGCUGCAAAACUUACUAUGUUCAUGUAACCCAGUUGACAAAUGCAUAUUAAAAACGUAUUAGUUGAUUAAAUAGCAUAAAUAGUAAAAUGGGAUAAUAAAUAGUGAUAAUACUGAUAAGGCAAUUCAUGAAUGAAGGUUUGGUAUCGUUAAAAACACGAUUAACAUAGCAGGACUUUUACUGUGACAGUUACGUUAUGGCACUUUUAUUUUGACAUGCGUUUCCACGCAUUCAGCUUUCCGUGGAGCCGUUCCAGUCAGUUGAGCUGAGAAGAGCUCGAAAGCUGAAGGAAAGACUUCGUUUCUUCUGCUCCACCCUGGAGCUAGAUAUUGAUAGAAAAUCAAUUCUAAGUUAAAGAUACCUACUUCUAAGUUUCAUUUUGGACCACCGAGCGACCUGCUCUGUAAAUCUUUUGUGUUUUGAAGAGCAAGAAGCUGCGCUUCGUCGUGUAUUGUUUCUGUUGAAUCGUCUCGGUGAAGUUUUUUGGACCUGGAUUCCGCUGUGGAUUGAUGACUGCGUUUGAUGGCGAGCCACCCACCCCAUUGAGUCGGAUCCUGUCCUGUGUCAUUGUACAUGGUGCAUAUGUGGUAGGGUUGUGACCUGCCUGUGUCACAACAACACUGACUGACUGACUUGAGUUGUUACUUUAACGGUUUACAAACUGAACUAAGGCCUUGAACUGAACGGAACUACUAUAAAGGAACUACUUUUUCUUUUCUUUUUUCUUGAACAACUGAAAGGAACUCUUUUCUCUUUGAGGAUUUAAAGGACUGAUUUAAAGGACUGUUCCCAACUUUUGGAAAAUAGACAAUUACUCACUUUUGAAGGACAAUUCAUUUUAUUUUAUUUUAAAGGGUCAAUUCUUUUCUUUUAUUUUGGGAAUAUGUACAUAUUUUCUACCUUGCAAUUCAUAACUAAAGAAAGAAAAAAAGUA